rnacentral:rRNA from 1 species
CCUACGGGUGGCAGCAGUGGGGAAUAUUGGGCAAUGGGCGCAAGCCUGACCCAGCAACGCCGCGUGAAGGAAGAAGGCCUUCGGGUUGUAAACUUCUUUUCUCAGGGACGAAGAAAGUGACGGUACCUGAGGAAUACGCCACGGCUAACUACGUGCCAGCAGCCGCGGUAAUACGUAGGUGGCAAGCGUUAUGCGGAUUUAUUGGGUGUAAAGGGCGUGUAGGCGGGAGCGCAAGUCAGAUGUGAAAACUCAGGGCUCAACCCUGAGCCUGCAAUUGAAACUGUGUUUCUUGAGUGCAGGGGAGGCAAUCGGAAUUCCGUGUGUAGCGGUGAAAUGCGUAGAUAUACGGAGGAACACCAGUGGCGAAGGCGGAUUGCUGGACUGUAACUGACGCUGAGGCGCGAAAGCGUGGGGAGCAAACAGGAUUAGAUACCCGUGUGGUC